rnacentral:rRNA from 1 species
GACGAACCGAGCGAACGUUGUUCGGAAUCACUGGGCUUAAAGGGCGCGUAGGCGGGCUGUCAAGUCUGGGGUGAAAUCCCACGGCUCAACCGUGGAACUGCCUUAGAUACUGACGGCCUCGAGGGAGAUAGGGGCGAGCGGAACUGUGAGUGGAGCGGUGAAAUGCGUUGAUAUUCACGGGAACUCCGGUGGCGAAGGCGGCUCGCUGGAUCUUUUCUGACGCUGAGGCGCGAAAGCUAGGGGAGCAAACGGG